rnacentral:rRNA from 1 species
CAUUGUCAAAAGGGAAACAGCCCAGAUCUACAGCUAAGGUCCCAAAUUGUAUCUAAGUGGAAAACGAUGUGGAAAUACGCAGACAACCAGGAUGUUGGCUCAGAAGCAGCCACUCAUUUAAAGAGUGCGUAAUAGCUCACUGGUCGAGCGUCUCUGCGCGGAAAAUUUAACGGGGCUAAGAUACAAACCGAAGCUUAGGCUGCACGUAAGUGCGGGGUAGGGGAGCGUUGUGUAAGCGGAGAAACAGUAGCGUAAGCGGCUGUGGAGUUUACAGAAGUGAGAAUGCCGGAAUGAGUAGCGCGAAUGUGGUGAGAAUCCACAUGGCCGGAAACCUCAGGUUUUUGGAGGAAGGUUCGUCCGCUCCAAGUUAGGCGGGAGCUAAGGUCAGGCCGAAAGGCGUAGCCGAUGCACAGACGGUAGAGAUUCCGUCCCCACCGAAAGAUUUAAGCACAGGGACACUUUUUGAAGGUCGGAGCCAGGUGUUGGUUCUGGUAGUGAUCGAGGGAAAUAUAGUACCGAAGUCCGGCUGGAAGAGAGGCGAGAAAAGCUGUGUGUAUAUCUAAGGUGCCCGUACCGCAAACCGACACAGGUAGGUAGGAAGAAGAUUCUAAGGCCAACGGGAGAAGGGUUGUUAAGGAACUCGGCAAAUUGACCCCGUAACUUCGGGAGAAGGGGUGCUCCAGAGAUGGAGCCGCAGAGAAUCGGCCCAAGCAACUGUUUACCAAAAACACAGGUUUGUGCUAAAUCGAAAGAUGACGUAUACGAGCUGACGCCUGCCCGGUGCUGGAAGGUUAAAAGGAGAUGUGCAAGCAUUGAAUUGAAGCCCCAGUGAACGGCGGCCGUAACUAUAACGGUCCUAAGGUAGCGAAAUUCCUUGUCAGGUAAGUUCUGACCCGCAUGAAAGGCGUAAUGAUUUGGGCACUGUCUCAACAGCCCGCCCGGCGAAAUUGUAGUACCGGUGAAGAUGCCGGUUACCCGCGACAAGACGGAAAGACCCCAUGGAGCUUUACUGUAGCCUGAUAUUGGGUUUCGGUGUUGCAUGCACAGGAUAGAUGGGACGCUAGGAAAGAAGCGCUUUGGCGUUUCUGGAGCGGACGUUGGGAUACCAUCCUUGCGACAUUGGAAUUCUAACCUGCGCCUCUGAAUCGAGGCGGGGGACAUUGUCAGGUGGGCAGUUUGACUGGGGCGGUCGCCUCCUAAAAAGUAGCGGAGGCGUUCAAAGGUUCGUUCGAUCUGGACGGAAACCAGAUGAUUGAGUGCAAACGCAUAAACGAGCCUGACUGCGAGACUGACGGGUCGAGCAGAGACGAAAGUCGGAGUUAGUGAUCCGGUGGUAUGUGAGUGGAAAUGCCAUCGCUCAACGGAUAAAAGUUACCCUGGGGAUAACAGGCUGAUCUCCCCCAAGAGUCCACAUCGACGGGGAGGUUUGGCACCUCGAUGUCGGCUCAUCGCAUCCUGGGGCUGUAUUCGGUCCCAAGGGUUUGGCUGUUCGCCAAUUAAAGCGGUACGCGAGCUGGGUUCAGAACGUCGUGAGACAGUUCGGUCCCUAUCUGUCGUGGGCGCAGGAUAUUUGAAAGGCGCUGUCCCUAGUACGAGAGGACCGGGAUGGACGAACCUCUGGUGCACCAGUUGUCACGCCAGUGGCACAGCUGGGCAGCUAUGUUCGGAUCGGAUAAACGCUGAAAGCAUCUAAGCGUGAAGCCGGCCUUAAGAUAAGAUAUCCCACUGAGUCAAUCAGGUAAGACCCCUUGAAGACUACAAGGUUGAUAGGCACACAGUGUAAGCGGAGUGAUCCGUUCAGCUAGCGUGUACUAAUAGGUCGAGGGCUUGACCC